rnacentral:rRNA from 1 species
CGGGAAUAUUGGACAAUGGGGGCAACCCUGAUCCAGCAAUACCGCGUGUGUGAAGAAGGCCUGCGGGUUGUAAAGCACUUUUAGUGGGGAAGAUAAUGACGUUACCCACAGAAAAAGCACCGGCUAACUCCGUGCCAGCAGCCGCGGUAAUACGGAGGGUGCAAGCGUAAAUCGGAAUUACUGGGCGUAAAGCGUGCGUAGGCGGCUCUUUAAGUCGGAUGUGAAAUCCCCGGGCUCAACCUGGGAACCGCAUCCGAUACUGGGGAGCUAGAAUGUGGGAGAGGGAAGUGGAAUUUCCGGUGUAGCGGUGAAAUGCAUAGAGAUCGGAAGGAACAUCAGUGGCGAAGGCGACUUCCUGGACCAACAUUGACGCUGAGGCACGAAAGCGUGGGUAGCAAAC